rnacentral:rRNA from 1 species
CCUACGGGAGGCUGCAGUAGGGAAUAUUGCUCAAUGGGGGAAACCCUGAAGCAGCAACGCCGCGUGGAGGAUGAAGGUUUUAGGAUUGUAAACUCCUUUUGGUAGAGAAGAGGAUGACGGUAUCUAACGAAUAAGCAGCGGCUAACGCCGUGCCAGCAGCCGCGGUAAUACGGAGGGUGCAAGCGUUCCUCGGAAUCACUGGGCGUAAAGAGUGCGUAGGCGGGGGAAGAAGUCAGAUGUGAAAUCCUGUCGCUUAACGACAGAACUGCAUUUGAAACUGUUACUCUGGAGUGUGGGAGAGGUCGGUGGACUUCUUGGUGUCGUGGUCACAUCCGUAGCGAUCAAG